rnacentral:rRNA from 1 species
AUUGAACGCUGGCGGCAGGCUUAACACAUGCAAGUCGAGCGAGCGGCGGACGGGUGAGUAAUGUCUGGGAAACUGCCUGAUGGAGGGGGAUAACUACUGGAAACGGUAGAUAAUACCGCAUACCAUCAGAUGUGGCCAGAUGGGAUUAGCUAGUAGGUGGGGGAAUGGCUCACCUAGGCGACGCUCCCUAGCGGGUCUGAGAGGAUGACCAGCCACACUGGAACGGAGACACGGUCCAGAUUCCUACGUGAGGCAGCAGUGGGGAAUAUUUCACAAUGGGCGCAAGCCUGAUGCAGCCAUGCCGCGUGUGUGAAGAAGGCCUUCGGGUUGUAAAGCACUUUCAGCGAGGAGGCGUUACUCGCAGAAGAAGCACCGGCUAACUCCGUGCCAGCCGUCGCGGUAAUUC